rnacentral:misc_RNA from 1 species
AAAAACUUUGAAAAUUAAAUGAGCCAAAACAAAGAUAUUCAAAGCUCAACUGCGACUAAAGAACCCAAAAAACACAAAACGCGUUUAUAGCAUAGCACCUCAGAAAAUUGAAUAAAUAUGGAAGCUGUAGUGUUACAAUAAGAAAGAGGCAAAGCGGUGUAAAAAUAAAUAAACAAAAUGGCCCCAUAACCCUUGCAAAGAAUAUCAUCAAUUUUUCUUCUUUUCUUCCCGAGUACCAAGACUAUUAAGAUAAAUUCCCAUCCGCUUUCACCGAAAGACAAACAAAACUGCACAACGAUGACACAAACACCUUGACACCCACUUCCAUGGGGACUAUCUUGUGGGAGAAUUGUAAGGGUUUAUGGGUCCAAUCGUUCCCCAACCAUCUACUAAUUCCCUUUCACAUGAAUAGAGCAGUACAUAAAUUAGUUUACACCACUUCAGUACCUUCAUUUCUUGUUUAUGUACACCAGGGCGGCCUUCUAAGGACAAAAUGAUUCCGAAACAAACUUAGCAAUUGAUGCCGCAUUGACCAUUUGCAGUAGCUUUUGUAGAAUCUGUUGUGAAGGGGUCGAUCCGAACCCAUAGCAAGGAGAAAAUGGAAGCAAGAAGUAUGGACCAGACGAUGACAAUGGUUGGCGUGCGAUUUUGCCGACCUACUAAACCCUUCAAGAAUGGGUACAAAUGAGCAAUAACCCAUAUUGCGAAGAACAGCUUGCCAAAGAGUGGACCCCAGGACUGGUAGCCGCUAUUUAUGGCAUAGGAAACGCCAGCUACAAUACCCACCAAGUUCACAAUAAGGACUGUCGUUGGUGGGAUGAGAAGAGACGUCCACUUGAACACAUAGAGCUCUGCAAACUCCCCAUCAUCGUCCGAAGCUUUUGAAGUGACAGUAAAGUUGGUAUCAAUCCCAGCAAGAACUUUCAAAAGCCCCUGGAACACUGCAAAGAGAUGGGCUGAUGUACCACCAAUAACCCAGAAUUGCUCAUUCCUCCACCAGUCUUCAAUGCUGACACCACUCCACCUCAGCUCAAGUAUUCCAGUAGCGAAAAUGGAGAUGAAGAGGAGAAUGAACCACAUACUAGCAAAGUUGCUUAUCUCAGGAAUAAUAAACUUCCCAGUUAGAAGACAGAAGGCAGGAAGCAUGCAAUAAGCGAUCAGUGGGAUAGAGGUGAUUGGGUACACAAUGGUAUUAAUGUAUGCCAGCCUCUCCAGGAGCUUCAAUCUUCCAUUGUAGCCAUACCAUAUGGGGCAAUGCCUGCUCAACAAAAUCUCAAUUGAUCCCAAGGCCCAUCGAAGAACCUGGUUCAAUCGAUCAGAAAGAUUGAUUGGAGCAGACCCCUUGAAUGCUGGGCGUGGAGGCAUACAAUAUAUAGAUAUCCAACCCCGCGCAUGCAUCUUAAACCCAGUUAAAAUAUCUUCAGUCACAGAACCAUAGAUCCAUCCAAUCUCUUUGCCCCAUUCAGUCUUGUCUUCAUAUCCACAGCUGAUAACAUGGAUUGCUUCCUUUAAAAGAGUUGCAGGAUUGGUUGAUGGUGGAAUACCUCCCUGUUCCAUGAAGGUGGCUGCGAUAAAAACUGGUGACUGACCAAAUCGCUUUUCUAGACUCUUUUGAGACAUAAGAAGUGACCUCUCAUCAUCAUAUCCUGCAGACAUGAAGUAAGAAGUUAACUGAUCUUUGAACAUGCAAAACAAGAUUUAAGUUGGAGAAGAACCUUACAUAUGCAUGAAUGUAAUCAGAAGGACCUUUUAAAUAAUGGUCCAAUACUAGAACAACAGUCGUACACACCAACCAUGCAUAUGUAAGAUGUAACAUGCUCAAGAAAAAGUCUAAUUUACUGAAAUUCAAUACUUAUAGAGAUUAUAUUUAUAUUUAUAUUUUUUAAAAACUGUAGAUGAGAAUAAAGAGUCUGGAAAACAAACCUUCAACACCCUCCUCAAUAUCUUCCAUAUUGAAAAUGGGAACAGUGGAUUCAGUUCUUUUCAUUGCCCUCUUCUUGUCAAUAUACUUCUUAUUACCACUUCUUCCUUUCUUUCUUGAUCCACAACAACUCUUGACAAUAAUGUUUGGCUCCAAAUCUUCCUCGGUCAAAACUGGAUCAUAACCAUAUAGAGCUUGCCUGUUGAAACAACAACCAGUUCCCACAUAGACUGGACCCUGGAUGCCAUCUAGCCCUUUCAAGUUGAUAUCAAAGAACACAAUAUUGCGAUUGGCAUAUCGAUCAUGCAAGUCAAUGCCAUCAAAUCGCUGAGGGAACUGUACAUAGCAUGUUUUCUUGCCAAGGACAGGAUCCAUCAUGAAACACAUUGCUUCUUUAAGAGCUUUGCUGUUAUUGAAGUAGUGAUCACAAUCGACAUUCAAAAGAUAGGCACCGUUUGUCAAGACAGCCGAAACUCUAAUCUACAAUAACACAAAUAAAAACCAGGUCAGAAGAAAAAUCAGGUUUAGUAGAAACAAUAUUUUGGUACACGCAUGACCACCCCAUCUGGCAAACAAUAACUAAAUCACAGUGCACAUAAGCACCAGCGUCCUCUUAUUGAAUUAAAGAAGAAUGGAAUUUUACUGAACAGUCAUUAGUCAGCAUACAUAUAAAUAAGCAUCCCUAACACCAUCAUCUGUGACAAUAAUCAAAGACCAAAUUGCAAGGAGAGAUCAGAUAAGAGGCAUUAAGAUGACAAACCAAAGCAUUCAUUGCUCCAGCUUUCUUGUGAUGUUGGAAGCCAGGCCUCUUCUCACGAGAAACAUACACAAGUCGAGGUAGCUCAUUUCCAUCCGUAUCAAGGCCUCCACUGUGCCCUAAGAACACCUGAAUCAUUCCUGGAUGAUCCCUAGGAUUAUUUCCAGGCCAAGGAGUGCCAUCCUGCAUUGUCCAACCUUCUUCGGGCAUCUUCUGUGCUUUGGCAACAAGGGCGUUGAUCCGCACCUUGAAUUCCUCGUAUUCUCUCUUCAUUGCUCGGCGCUCUUUAACAAAAGAAGGUUUUAUCUUGUCCUUCAAAUAAUCAAUCUUUUGUGCAAAAUAAAACUCAGGUGCCCUAGGCUCAAUAUUGUGCUUCUUGCAGAAGGGCACCCAUUUCCUUGCGAACUCUGCAGUUUCGGAAAGGGCUUCAAAUGUCAACAUUGCUGAACCAUCGUCUGAAACAUAGCAAGAUACUUUGUCGACAGGGUAAUCAACAGCAAGUAUGGACAAAACAGUGUUUGCUGUAACAAGAGGAGGUUCUUUAAGGGGAUCCACUGUACUAACAAAGACAUCAACAGGUGCUAACUGUGAUGGUUCCCCUUCACGAUCAUAUCUCAAAGCAAGCCUGUCAAGGUAGGUCUCGCGGUUGAUGGGAGACCAUUUUGGAAACUGAUCCAAAAGCCAUGACAAGGCAAACCAAAUCUCACAAAUAACUGAUGUUAGCCACAAUGGGUAUGCAUCUUUCACUGGGUGAGUUACACGAUAUUGCAAGAAGAAGCCCAAAAUAAUAAGCCGGAGGAUGAUUACGACACGAUACGGGGUCAGGUGAGAGGAAGGAAUAGGUACGACACGACUCAAAGGUUGUCGAGCAUCAUCAGCCAUUUGGAGUUCUUCCCCAUUUGAACCUGUGCCUUCCAUGUCCCCCUUUCCUUCAUUGUAUCUAUUGGUCAUCUGCAUCAUAUUUUUCUCCUGUUUGAGUUUCCAACCCUCAACCCUCUCCUUCCAGUCAACAUUACCGAGGCCAUAAGUAUGCAAGUCCUUAGUCGGGUCCACAAUUCUAACAGGAACUGGCUGCCUUGGAUCAAUAUAAGGAGAUGAGUUAACAUUCUUUUCAGGAGGGCCCAAAGGCCCAGAUGUAGUUCGCACAGAUUGGGUGUCAGGUGUAGCACAGGGAAUUUCACCAGAAACCGGCUGCCCAUUCGUGAGAAGGGGAAUUGGCUGUUGUGACUCAUGCCUGGAUGAUGACGAAAGUUCUACAUCUUCACCCUGCCAUUGGCGUAUAGUCUUGCUAUUGCCUUGGGUAUAAUUGAAUUCAUUCUCUAGAUCAUCAACAUCAUCUUCAUCCUCGUCUCCCUCCACCCGAGGACUCCCUUUGUGCCUCUUGUACCUAGUCUUGCAUUGAGGACAAGACUGAGUACCAUCUUUCCGCUCAUACUCGUAACAAGGACGGCAAACUGGGAAGGCACACUCGUUGCAAGCAACAAAUGUGUCACCACUGGCAGUCAGUCCAACAUUAUCACCACAGAUCUGACAGGUUUGGCCAUUCAAAUUCUUGAGGGGUUUUGGCCCACUAUCGGAAUCGUGGCGAAUCCGGACCAACUCGUUCCUCCGGUAGGAACCGGCCACCAUGCCCGCAUUUGCUUCCAUAAUGGUAACGAUUGUCCAGGAUUCUCAAGACAGAAACAGAUCAGAUCUUGAUGGAAAUGCUAUGAAAAGGUAAGGGCCGUGAUCCGCUUACUUGGCUAUGGAAAACCAAGGGCAAUGAUGGUCCGCAGAGCCUUCGCCCACUCAAUACGCCAUCUGCCUGCUCCUUCUAGCUAUCACUCUAGCUAUCAAUGCUCGUCCUUUUAUUCUCUUCCUUUUUAUGUUAUUUUAUUGUGUUUGUUAGGAUUUACCGGCUCAACCGGUUUCUCAUCUCUCACCUCAGCUCAGCCGGCUUCCCCGUUGCAGCCUCGGCCCUUGCACAGCCCUAAUAAUAAUAAUAAUAAUAAU